AAGCGUUUGCGACCAGACCUUUUCCUGGCGGAUCAUCCGGUGUUCUCACCGGUGCACUUCGCUUGGUUUAGGCCAGCAUCGGUUUUCUUAGGGGGAUAAAGGCCUGGGGCACGUAGCUCUUCCGGGAGUGUUAUAGCCCCUAGCGUAAUGCCCUUACGGGGACCGAGGACCGCGCUUCGGCAAGGAUGCUGGCGUAAUGGUCGUCAACGA
rnacentral:rRNA from 1 species